rnacentral:tRNA from 1 species
GGGCGAUUAGCUCAGAUGGUUAGAGCGCGUCACUGAUAAUGACGAGGUCCGAGGUUCGAUUCCUCGAUCGCCCA